rnacentral:snRNA from 8 species
AUUCUCUUGCAGCGGCGAUAUCAUAGCUUAUGCAGUCUAUCUGAGGCGUGAUUAUUGCUGGUUGAUAACUUAACCCAAUACCCUGUUAGGGGCGACUUGAAAUAUAGUCUUCCCUGGCAAUUUUUGCUAGUAUCAUGUGAGA